UUUCAACUGAUUUGAGAGCUUGCUCAGAUAUGAUGAUGGACAUUGCAAAGAGUGGCGAACGGGUGAGUAACACGUGGGAAACUACCUCUUAGCAGGGGAUAACAUUUGGAAACAGAUGCUAAUACCGUAUAACAAUAGCAACCGCAUGGUUGCUACUUAAAAGAUGGUUCUGCUAUCACUAAGAGAUGGUCCCGCGGUGCAUUAGUUAGUUGGUGAGGUAAUGGCUCACCAAGACGAUGAUGCAUAGCCGAGUUGAGAGACUGAUCGGCCACAAUGGGACUGAGACACGGCCCAUACUCCUACGAGAGGCAGCAGUAGGGAAUCUUCCACAAUGGGCGAAAGCCUGAUGGAGCAACGCCGCGUGUGUGAUGAAGGGUUUCGGCUCGUAAAACACUGUUGUAAGAGAAGAAUGACAUUGAGAGUAACUGUUCAAUGUGUGACGGUAUCUUACCAGAAAGGAACGGCUAAAUACGUG
rnacentral:rRNA from 1 species